CAGCCGCCACGGUAAUGCGAAGGGUGCAAGCGUUAAUCGGAAUUACUGGGCGUAAAGCGUGCGUAGGCGGUUUGUUAAGUCUGUUGUGAAAUCCCCGGGCUCAACCUGGGAAUGGCAAUGGAUACUGGCAGGCUAGAGUGUGUCAGAGGAUGGUGGAAUUCCCGGUGUAGCGGUGAAAUGCGUAGAGAUCGGGAGGAACAUCAGUGGCGAAGGCGGCCAUCUGGGACAACACUGACGCUGAGGCACGAAAGCGUGGGGAGCAAACAGGAUUAGAUACCCGAGUAGUCCCUGUCUCUUAUAA
rnacentral:rRNA from 1 species